AGCGAACGCUGGCGGCAGGCCUAACACAUGCAAGUCGAACGAACUCUUCGGAGUUAGUGGCGGACGGGUGAGUAACACGUGGGAACGUGCCUUUUGGUUCGGAAUAACUCAGGGAAACUUGUGCUAAUACCGAAUGUGCCCUUCGGGGGAAAGAUUUAUCGCCAUUAGAGCGGCCCGCGUCUGAUUAGCUAGUUGGUGAGGUAACGGCUCACCACGGCGACGAUCAGUAGCUGGUCUGAGAGGAUGACCAGCCACACUGGGACUGAGACACAGCCGAGACUCCUACGGGAGGGAGCAGUGGGGAAUCUAGCGAAAUGGGCGAAAGGCUGAAGCAGCCAUGCCGCGUGAAUGAUGAAGGUAUUAGGAUUGUAAAAUUCUUGCAACGAGGACGAUAAUGACGGUACCCGGAGAAGAAGCCCCGGCUAACUUCGUG
rnacentral:rRNA from 1 species